rnacentral:rRNA from 1 species
CACGUAGGGUGCGAGCGUUGUCCGGAAUUAUUGGGCGUAAAGAGCUCGUAGGCGGUUUGUCGCGUCGGCCGUGAAAUCUCCACGCUUAACGUGGAGCGUGCGGUCGAUACGGGCAGACUUGAGUUCGGUAGGGGAGACUGGAAUUCCUGGUGUAGCGGUGAAAUGCGCAGAUAUCAGGAGGAACACCGGUGGCGAAGGCGGGUCUCUGGGCAACAACUGACGCUGAGGAGCGAAAGCUAGGGGAGCGAACAGG